rnacentral:rRNA from 1 species
ACGCACGCUGGCGGCAUGCCUAACACAUGCAAGUCGCACGAGACCUUCGGGUCUAGUGGCGCACGGGUGCGUAACGCGUGGGAACCUGCCCUUAGGUUCGGAAUAACUCCCCGAAAGGGGUGCUAAUACCGGAUAAUGUCUUCGGACCAAAGAUUUAUCGCCUUUGGAUGGGCCCGCGUUGGAUUAGCUAGUUGGUAGGGUAAAAGCCUACCAAGGCGACGAUCCAUAGCUGGUCUGAGAGGAUGAUCAGCCACACUGGGACUGAGACACGGCCCAGACUCCCACGGGAGGCAGCAGUGGGGAAUAUUGGACAAUGGGCGAAAGCCUGAUCCAGCAAUGCCGCGUGAGUGAUGAAGGCCUUAGGGUUGUAAAGCUCUUUUACCCGGGAUGAUAAUGACAGUACCGGGAGAAUAAGCUCCGGCUAACUCCGUG